UACGGAGGGUGCAAGCGUUAUCCGGAUUCACUGGGUUUAAAGGGUGCGUAGGUGGGCAGUUAAGUCAGUGGUGAAAUCUCCGGGCUCAACCCGGAAACUGCCAUUGAUACUAUCUGUCUUGAAUAUCGUGGAGGUAAGCGGAAUAUGUCAUGUAGCGGUGAAAUGCUUAGAUAUCCGGAAGAACACCGGAGGCGAAGGCGGCUUGCUGGACCUGGUCUGACGCUGAGGCGCGAAAGCGUGGGGAGCGAACAGG
rnacentral:rRNA from 1 species